GGGAGGGGAGGGGGAGAGAAGAACUUAACCCUUCCUCCCAUCACUUUUCCUAGAUCAUAUGCUCAGUUUAGAAUGUUCAAUGGAUUACAGGACUUCAAAAAUCUUCUCUCUCCCUUCUUGUCCACUUGCCCUGGAACAUCUGUAAUCUAUCAAAUUAUGACAUGAUUUAACAUCACACUUUUGAGAAAGAUGAUGAUGAGGGUUCGCUUUUAGCUUUGAGAAGGAUGAUGAGAUUCUAGGAAUCUUAUUCACAUUUCUUGGAUGUGGGUUAAAACUGGGUUCUGGAUGCCCACGAAAGAGGCCAUGGCAAGAGAUAUAAACGCCGUCAGUUUUAUUUUUCAGUACAAGUAAUAUUGGGGAAGGAAAAUUUGAACAAAAGACUUCAAAUGCGUAUGUAAAUAUUUUUAACUACUUAAGUUAUAAGUCCGUGCUACGCCAUCAUUCUUCUGGUGUAUUUAUCUGUAGCUUCACAAUAUGAGCAAAUGCCGUAGGUGUUAACUUGUUAAUUUGUGAUGAGCGACAAGUGAUUUUGACUGUAGGGUACAAGACACACAUCUACGAUGAGUUUAGGUUUGCA